UACGGAGGAUCCGAGCGUUAUCCGGAUUUAUUGGGUUUAAAGGGAGCGUAGGCGGGAUAUCAAGUCAGCUGUGAAAUGUAGAUGCUCAACAUCUGCACUGCAGUUGAAACUGGUGUUCUUGAGUGCGUAAGAGGUAGGCGGAAUUCGUCGUGUAGCGGUGAAAUGCAUAGAUAUGACGAAGAACUCCGAUUGCGAAGGCAGCUUACUGGGCCGCAACUGACGCUGAAGCUCGAAGGUGCGGGUAUCAAACAGGAUUAGAUACCCUGGUAGUCCGCACAGUAAACGAUGGAUACUCGCUGUCGGCGAUAUACAGUCGGUAGCCAAGCGAAAGCAUUAAGUAUCCCACCUGGGGAGUACGCCGGCAACGGUGAA
rnacentral:rRNA from 1 species